GAAAUGCGAUACGCAAUGCGAAUUGCAGAAUUCCGCGAGUCAUCAGAUCUUUGAACGCAGCCCGCGCAGGAGGGGAAUCCUUCCUGCAUGUUUGUUUCAGUGUGUAAGGUUGACUUCACAAACCUCAAUGCGAUUGAGACUCCUUCUCUUCGGAGGAAGAAUCUCUCUCGUUAAAGAUGAGCGUGUGCGGUUGAGCCCGCCAACGGAGUGGUCACUGUUCUUCAGUGAUUUCGUUGGGCAAACAGGUUCUUCCAACAACAAAAAUCACACGUUUUUUUAAUUAACAACUCUUCAAUCCGCACCUGAAAUCAAGCAAGAUUACCCGCUGAACUUAA
rnacentral:misc_RNA from 1 species